AUUGAACGCUGGCGGCAGGCCUAACACAUGCAAGUCGAGCGAGUGGCGGACGGGUGAGUAAUGUAUGGGGAUCUGCCCGAUGGAGGGGGAUAACUACUGGAAACGGUAGCUAAUACCGCAUACUAUCGGAUGUACCCAUAUGGGAUUAGCUAGUAGGUGGGGUAAAGGCUCACCUAGGCGACGAUCUCUAGCUGGUCUGAGAGGAUGAACAGCCACACUGGAACUGAGACACGGUCCAGACUCCUACGGGAGGCAGCAGUGGGGAAUAUUGCACAAUGGGCGCAAGCCUGAUGCAGCCAUGCCGCGUGUAUGAAGAAGGCCUUAGGGUUGUAAAGUACUUUCAGCGGGGAGGCGUUACCCGCAGAAGAAGCACCGGCUAACUCCGUGCCAGCAGCCGCGGUAAUAC
rnacentral:rRNA from 1 species